rnacentral:rRNA from 1 species
GACGAACGCUGGCGGCGUGCCUAAUACAUGCAAGUCGAACGCAGUGGGGACGGGUGAGUAACACGUGGGUAAUCUCCCAUAAGAGGGGAUAACACUUGGCAACAGGUGCUAAACCGAUAUUGGUGGAUGGACCAGCGGUGCAUUAGCUAGUUGGUGAGGUAAAGGCUUACCAAGGCCACGAUGCAUAGCCGACCUGAGAGGGUGAGCGGCCAAACGGGGACUGAGAAACGGCCCAGACUCCUCCGGGAGGCAGCAGUAGGGAAUCUUCGGCAAUGGACGAAAGUCUGACCGAGCAAAGCCGCGUGAGUGAAAAAGGUUUUCGGGUCGUAAAACUCUGUUGUUAGAGAAGCGGUAUCUAACCAGAAAGCCACGGCUAACUACGUGCCAGCCGCCGCGGUAAUUC